UACGGAGGGUGCAAGCAUUAAUCGGAAUUAUUGGGCGUAAAGGGCGCGUAGGCGGGUGGAAAAGUUAGGUGUGAAAUUCCGCAACUCAAUUGCGGAGCUGCACUUAAAACUCUCUAUCUAGAGGUAAGGCGGAGAAAAUGGAAUUCCACGUGUAGCGGUGAAAUGCGUAGAUAUGUGGAAGAACACCUGUGGCGAAAGCGGUUUUCUAGCUUAGACCUGACGCUGAGGCGCGAGAGCAAGGGGAGCAAACAGG
rnacentral:rRNA from 1 species